rnacentral:tRNA from 2 species
GGCGCAUUCGUCUAGCGGCCUAGGACGCGUCCCUCUCAAGGACGAGAUCACGGGUUCGAAUCCCGUAUGCGCUACCA